rnacentral:rRNA from 1 species
UACAGAGGGUGCGAGCGUUGUCCGGAAUCACUGGGCGUAAAGGGUGCGUAGGCGGGUCUUUAAGUCAGGGGUGAAAUCCUGGAGCUCAACUCCAGAACUGCCUUUGAUACUGAGGAUCUUGAGUUCGGGAGAGGUGAGUGGAACUGCGAGUGUAGAGGUGAAAUUCGUAGAUAUUCGCAAGAACACCAGUGGCGAAGGCGGCUCACUGGCCCGAUACUGACGCUGAGGCACGAAAGCGUGGGGAGCAAACAGG